GCACCGGGCACAGCCCCUGGAGCCCUCAGAGCGAGCAGUAAGGCCCUGCCCUGCCUAAACAGGCUGGGAUGGAGGGGGCAGUGCGAGGAGCUGGAGCACAGGCAGCUCGGUGUCUGCGCCUCCUCCAGCGCCUGCGGCUAGGAGCGGUGCAGAUGGCACACAAAGGAUUCCCCCCGCAGGCACUGACAUCAAUCAUGCGGAGGGAGAGCGCCCAGCGCCUUUUCUCUUUACUUCCCGACCAGUGAAUCCCGCAUCGGUUUGGUAAAAAUGUGUGCCAGGCUUUUUUUAAGCCUGGUAACUGAUGAAAGCUGUUUUCCUGCCUUUGCGUAAGGCAGUCUGCUUGCCAAAUCCAAGCCUGCUGCACGCCGCUCCCCUCCCCUGUGCUGCAUUUUCCCCUUUGUGAUGGGACAGGACAGUGCAGCAAUGGCGAGAGCCGCUGGAAUUUCACCGAGCUUUGUCCCAGUUUUGCUCUGAUUCUUCAGAGCCUCGCUGUCUGUGUUUCAGGAGCCUGUAAAGCUGCUAGGGCUUCCCAAAAUCUCCCGGCCCGUGGGCAGUUUCUGGCCGUGACGGAGGGAAGCUAACCGAGCUGAUGCUCCCAGCUGGGCAAUUCUCGCCGGAGGUCUGCCCGGCACCAUCCCAAGAUUGUUCCCCUCCCACAGCUCCAGCAAUUUGUGCGCAUUGUGAGUAUUUGCUCAAGGGACCUCUUCCAGGGCCCUUUCCAGAACAUUUUGCGUGCCAGCGCGGAGAGCCCGAGGCGGUGCGGCACAUCCGCAGCCCAGCAGCCUGUGGGAUCGAUGUUUUGGCAGGAACCUCUCGUGCUCGCAUAGCGCAACAGAGCGCCUUUUAUUCCUCUGGUGCUGGAUAUGCUCAGCUGGAUACGUGUGAUUACAGUCCUUUGUCCUCGGCGGCAGUAGGAAGGGCCUGCUGAAGCAGCGCCCGGCCGGGCUGGAGGCAGCGCGGUGAAGCAGCCAGCUGCCAGAUCGGGAUUUCUUGCGGGGGAAACCCCGGAGCCUGAGCGGUGAGCCACCGGCACUGGACGGACCUCAGAGCAGGUUGUCCUGGCGGGGUGGCCAGCCACAGGCUCCCAAAAACAUUUCCAGCCUCUUUAUGAGGUGCCCGAAGCCAGGACACAGCCAGGCCGGGGUCAAAGUGGCAGCACUGCUGCACGCCCUCCAAAAAGAAAGACACAGCUUGUGCCCAGAGCAGCUGAGGGCUGGGGUGGGCAGGCUGCCAUGACAAAGUGGCUGCCAAGGCCGAGGGAUUUAGGGAGAGCGCUGAGAAAGAGACGGAGACAACCAGCAAAAACUUUAUGAGUUUGGGCCUGCAGCCCAGAAAGAGAGAAAGUAAAAGAGGCAAUAUUAAGCUUAGAAAAAAGUAACCUGGUGCAUGCAACGAGGCACACCUGGAAGAAGGCCAUUACAAGCAGGUGUUCGGCAUGCGGGGACGUGAUGCAUCGUGCAGAAAUCUGAUUGCUUGGAACAGCAAAAAGACCCCAAGCGCCCUGUCAGCCAAAGGAGCAGUUUGGUGGUGGGCAGAAGGCAUUUUUAUCCCUCGGGAGGAGACGAGGCAUGUCUGUUUUAAGGAGAUUGACGGGACUACGGCAUUGGCACGGGCAGCACGCCCCGUGGACUCGCUGUCUGGGUAUGCAGGGGGCUCAGCUCCCCAGCUCACGGCCUGGUGCCAAGGCAGCGUGGCUGCACGCAGGAAUUGAUGCACAGGUGGCUGCUGCUGGAGCAGACUGGGCUCUAGGGAGGUGACAAACCAGUAAAUACAAGACCAGUGGGAGAUCCAUGCUAGCGGAACAAAACAUCACAGGCAUAAGGCAUCUCCUGUAGCACUUUUGUUUGCGUACCACUGUUUAUCCACCACUGGAUGGAGAGGAAGAGGAGGGCACUGCUGGAUUCGCAGCCAAAUCCCACUGUGUGGAAAGGGGAAGGCCAUACAUCUUUGCAGCAGACACUUCUAUCUGCGCUCUAUAAACACCCCUCAGAAGGCAAAACAGAUGGUCUUGUGGUUUGGCUCUGCGCUCUGCUUUGGAGACCCAAGUGCUAUUUACUGCCUGACUUUUGACCAGUCAGUUAAAUCUACAGAUGCAAAGGUUAAUACUAAUUUUCAUAUCCACCCAAGCUACGUGCACGCAAAGUCCAACAUGGGCAAGCAAGUUUGAUGAGCUCCAAUAUGUGUGCAGACAACAAUUUCAGAAAAUUUACCUUCAUGCUGGGUUGGUUGUAAGGCAAAAUUAAAGUGUUUGUGAAGCAUUUGAAUAUCCCGAGGGGCUAGAGAAAUGCAAACUUUUAAUAAUAAUUACUCUUUUGAUUUAACUGGAUGAGCUCAGUGUAACGUGGCAUAAUGAGUCUAAUAAUUCCUCUGUUUGUACUUUGACUCCAGCUGUUAAAUGACUACAGCUUUUCUGUAUUUAUCACAAACCUGAGGUCCUUGAAAAAGAAAAGUUUUGAUCAGCCUAGAGAAGGCAGUAGUGAUGUUGGUUUGAAGAACAAAGCCUGCAAACGCUUAAAGAAAAACGCACAAAGUCGUAUUGUUCUUUUCCAAACUGAUCUCAGCAUAAAGCUUGGUGAGCGGUAGAGCUGUCGUCUAACGUCACGUUCCUCACGAAAGAGGAAGAGCCUGGAGCAGGCAGGCUGAGCUUGGGCUGUUUGGUGGAGGAAACCCAUGCAGAGGCAUCUGAGUGCUCAUCAAAGCAAUCAGGAGAUACGUAUGCUGAUAGUGCUGUAGAAAUCUCACAUCAAGGCUUACUCGGGGCUCAGAAAGACUUCUCUUCUAGGGGGAAACUCCUCCUUUCGAUGCCUGGAACAGAACAUUCUCCCAGGAAGCGAUUUUCAAAAGCUGCGAAGACAGUUACACUGCUUUCUUUGUCCGGAGGCCCAGUUUUCAAAACAUAUUGUGGAACAUUGGGAAAAGCAGUGCAAGGAAAUGAGGGGAAACCUAAAAAAAGAUUUAUGGUGAAAUUAGCUGACAGACUUUGCCCAGCUCCCUGGGAGUAAGUGGUCAUCAAACAAAAACAACGAGCACAUAGGAGUUCUCAAAGAGGAAUAAAAUGGGUUCAAACACUGACUGAACUGAUUUUGACCUCUGUGAAAACUGAACUAUCCAAAAAAAAAAAAAAAAAAGUUAUUUUUGUAAAUGUGAUCCUUUCUCUGCAUUAAGUCAAUCAAUGGAACGCUAAUUUUCCAAGCAAGUAGUAUGGAAGUCAGUACAUACAAAUUCUAAUAUGGGGCAUGCACAAUUCUUAUGUUCUGUCCUAUUACUACACUAGCUACGCUUGUUCUGACAGGCAAUAAUGAAUUGCCCUUUGAAAAAAAUAAAAUUAAAUGUUAUAUUCCUGAAAUAUGUGGCAAGGGAAAAAAGAAACUAGAUGUGGGCUCAUCCAUUUCUUUCGGCUUAAAAUGUAGAUUUCCACUGCAGCUGGACAAACCCUGGCUCCAGUUUCACAAGAAGAAUCAAGCUGUUCCACGCACGGAACAGCAGCUAAAUUGUUGCCCUGGCAUGGAACAGGGAGAAGAAGCAUCUGGCCACUAAGAGACACUAGCAGCAAGCAAGCCCCCUUUCUAAUGCAGUCUGCUUACUUUUUCUAAAAGGGACGAGAAAAAAAGCACCACAAGUUUUGUCCAAAGCCUUUUCAGCUUUAGGGGGAAAAAAAAAAUAAGAAAAAAUGUCUUGUGCAGGAAGUGUCUCAGGUACCUAAGACAUUUUUUAAUGAAGAUCCCAGAAAGAAGAGCCGUGGCUAUGUGCAGUCAACAAACUGCAAUUGUGCAAUCUGUUUUGCCUCUUUUAGACCAAUUGUCAGUUUUAGUGCCUUCCCUUAUCAGAAGCUGUCACCCUUAUCAGGCAGGGAGAGGCAGACUCUCAGGUAUGUAGCCACUUGGUUUUGAUUGCAAGUCUGGAGGACCUAGGCUCGAGGCUCGCUUGCUUAAAAGUCUGUUGACAGUAGAAGUCAUUGCAAGCUGAAUCACAGGAGUGAUGACUGAAGUGUAACAUCUCUUUGGCCUCUCAUAGCUGUUUUCCUGCAGUCUCACAUAACUUCUUCCUAACAGCAGGAAUAUACAUUUUUUUACUACAAAAACAAACCCUGUGAUUUGAGCUGAAAAGGAUUGGGUCUCUUGCUAUCUGUUUCCACCACAGAACUUCUGAAACGCCAAGGGACACUUCUGCUUUCAUUCAGAUCAGUGAAAUAAGUGCUUACGUUUAGCAAAUUAAGUACUUCUUUCACAGUCAGAGAUGUACUUGGGGGGAGCAAUGCAAGAACUAAAUUAACCUUCUUACCAGAGCUACUUUUACUAAAUAAACAGCCCCAUAUUAGGCAAUUUUCUCACUCAGAACAGAUUAUUUUCUGCGGUUUGUUUUGCUAACUGGAAAAUGUUCUCAACUAUUCCAUUUAACUCAGUCUGCAAUUGUACAGCCUUCAGACCUGUGUCUGUCACCCUAGGGACUGCACCUGUAAAUCAAUCAUUCUUCCUAGAAAAUAGAUGACUAGUCAGAAACGCUUGCUGCAACAUGUGAGAAUGCCAAUGGCAGACAGGAAUGUGUCUUCCUUUACAGUACUUCCAAUUUUACUCUUUUAGUAUUGGUAGCAUGAAUGAUACGGUGGAACAGCCAGCUGACAGUAAUAUUUCAUGUAUAUUUCUGCUUAAUUUUGUGUUGUGUAUAUGAUCAACAUGCCUGAAUUCAAAAUACUAUAUGGAAAAAAGUAAUUCUCAGCUUAACUGUCUGCAUCCAAACCUUUUUGACCUGCGUUUCUACAUGUACAUGAUAAAACACUGCCCAAUUUUGGAAAAAGCCCUUUCCAAUAAAUGUCAUCUGACAUUAAGAUUAAUUCUUACAUCAUUUGACUUGAAGAGAUGUAUUUUCUUGAAUUGCUUUCUAAACUACAGUAUAAUUUCUUACAGCCUUUUGUAACAGUGCUGGAAGCAAUACAGGAGAAGCAGAAGAUAAUCGACUUUCACAGUCGAAGAUCAAUAAGAUGCUGCAACAACAGCUGUGUACUCUUGAGCAUACUCACUCCAAACAAGCUGUCAGUUAAAGCAACUUCAUCAUGGCCUUUGGAAGUGGAGAAAAUGCGAGUAGCAUUAACUUAAAAAUUCAUUCUCUCUGGCUCAUGUAACACAGGUUUUCUUACAUUUUCUCUUCCAGAACAUACAAUUUUCCUUCCUUUUCUGUGUGACAACUUAAGCUCUGUUCAUGUUAUUUACCCUGGCUGUGGUUAUACUUGACUGCAGAUAUCAUCAUCUAUACUUGGAGAUGUUAUGUCCUGGAGAGUUCACGUCAGCGUUGCAGGAGUUUAUAUUGUCAACCAUCUUGCAAGAUCUUUAGUAUUUCUGUGACACUUGCACACAUACUUUUUUAAAUGGACAAUUUACUCCCCGGUAACAUAGUGACUUGUGCUCCUCUGAUUGGGUCGGUAUCACGUAUAUUCACUGAUGCUCGUUUGGAUAGAAGGUUUUACAGAUUUUACAACAGUGACAUCAUCACCUGGUGACUCUGUUGGAAACAGCACUCUGCAUUUCCCGUCCUAGCUCCCGAAUCCUUGCUGCUGGGCUCUAUCUUUUCUUCCAUUGAAGGGGAUGGGAGCUUUGCCACAGGCUGCAGCGACAGCAGGAGUGCAGACACAGAUUAGGCAAGGUGUUGGAGGAUUUUCUGCACACCCUGUAGGUAUUUAGGGAACCGUGUGGUAUGUGAUCCUAAAUACAAGCUUAUGCAGUUUGAACUCUUGAGCUAAACCCAGAUAUUUCCAGGCUGGCAAAGCUACCUACUGACUGUACGUCUGAGAAAGCACAUCCUGAAUUAUUUCUGACUGUAUUUCUGAGUUAUGUCCUGACUGUGCAUCUGACUUAUUUCUUCUGGCAAGUAUCAAGAGUAUGUUAGUGAAAUGUGCCUGGAUAUAGUAGCUUGAGAUGGAGCUAUGCUGGAAAUGUUCCUGCAGCUGUUACUUGGAAAACAUCUGUGGUACUGUGCAUUUGUACGUCUCUGUUCACACUGGCACGGAGCAAUUGAUCUUGUGGAACAAAAUAUAAAUUACUGUUGGGAGAUAUGAGAAGGACAUUCUGCACCAGUGAACACAAAACUAAUACAGGCAGUAGUGGUUUGGAAGUAGAGGGGCAAAAAAAUCCAGUGCUUCAUUGCUGGCACAAGCAGUAAAGAGCAAGAUCAGCAGACUCUGUGACACCUCCAGAACUCCAAGUGCUGGUUAUCUGAGUAAGAACAACCAAUCCACUCGCCUUGAGGCGUGACAUUUUUUACGCUUAGCCUUGAAAAAAUCUUCUGACUUUGAUAAUCUUUGACAGUCUGUGUUUGCAUAGUCUGAUAAAGGGGAGAAUAUCCAGGCUGACAUGAUGUGUUGUUUGUGGUUAAUGCUGGGCCCUAUGCAAAGCAUAAAAGACAUCGCCCCGAAGAAUUCAAUUCUAGCCAAAGACAUACAGUAAGGUAUAUUUAAGAAACCCUCUGGAAGGACUUUGAGAAGUAUUUUGUUUAGAGCACAUUAGUUAAUUAAGGGAUUUUGUCAUCUCUUUAGGCCCUCAAAUUAAGCCUGGGUCAUUAGAAGAUGUGCUUAAGUGAAUUCUAAUGGCCUAUUGUAUUCAAGAACUCAGACCGGAUGAUCUUCAAAAAGCAAGUGUGUGAGAAAUGGAGAAUGCCUUCAGUAACACAGCUGAGUGUGGGACGAUGAGAAGCCAGAGGAGAUAUUUGGUAGCCAGAAAUUUGUCACUGUUACUGAGCCAGGGCUCCUGCAAAGAGCCGAUGAGGUGUCAGUUGCAAUACAUGACUCACCAUGUCACCUCCCAGUAGCCUUGUGUGAGCUCCAUGGCACAGAACGUGUACGCUUCGCUGUCUUACCUAUUUUCUCUCAUGAUACCUGCAUUGCAUCAUUAAAAAAUAGAAAUCAAGGUGGAAAUAUCUUCCUAGUGCUUUGUGGACGCUUUGUGCAAAGGGUCUUUCAUCUCAUCUUUAAUCCAAAUUAUAAAAAAUGGAUUUGCACCAUGCUAAAUCUCUAAAUAAAUUUAAAAUAUCCGUUCCCAGUCCUCGAACUGAAUGCCUCCUAGCAAGUCAUUUCACUCAACAGCUGCCCAGUUGCACAGCUGGCAAGGUGACUGCUCUUUUUCUUUCUUGGCUUAACUUUUAAUGACUCAUUUAAAUUCCUUUUAAGCGGAAUCCAUAUGAUUUUGAAAAUGCCUUCUGAAAUUAUGCACAACUACCUUUCUAAAAAAAAAAAAAAAAAACUUUAAAAAGCCGUAAGUACAACAUUGCCUAGAAUUAUCUUGUCAAUUAAAUAAAAGAACCCACUUGAAAUAAGUGACAAAAAUAUACUGUGAAUGAAACGCACCUUCCAGUUACAAAUCGUUAUUAAAAGAGACCUUUAAGCAAACUGCUAGUUACCUGGUCAUGCUUAGACAAGCACAAGGUUAUUGAAACAUACAGCUUCCUUUCAGCCAAUUUAACUUGCACUGAAGGCAAAUUAUUGCCAUAAAAGCACUGAAGCACAUUGCUCAGGCAUUUGGUGUAAUUGUUUGCUCCUAAAAGAUUACCCUUGCUGCACAACAAUGUCAGCGGGAUCAGAUUCAGGUCUGCAUCUUCAGUUGCUGUUACAAAUGCUCCCUGCAAUGUUUUCCCACAGGAAAUUGAUGUAUGCUUUUGAUAUUAUUAUCUAAAAAAGACAGGAAGCUAUAUUUUAAUAGACCUGUAGAUGCAAUAUAGAUUUCUGACAAUGGCUGUAAUGGAAAUCAGUGAGACUGAGCCGACUCACAAAGGAAUUGCAAGGGGCCUAAUGAAAAGCUCGCCUCCCCCCCCCCCAGCACAGGAAUCAU